GGGCUUGCCCUGGGGCAAAGCCGCGAACGGGUGAGUAACACGUGAGUAACCUGCCCCGAUGACCGGGACAACCCGAGGAAACUCGGGCUAAUACCGGAUGUGGCGCACAGGCGUAAGCCUGUUCGCUAAAGGAAGCUUCGGCCUCCGCAUUGGGAGGGGCUCGCGGCCCAUUAGCUUGUUGGUGGGGUAACGGCCUACCAAGGCAACGAUGGGUAGCUGGUCUGAGAGGACGAUCAGCCACACUGGGACUGAGACACGGCCCAGACUCCUACGGGAGGCAGCAGUGGGGAAUCUUGCGCAAUGCGCGAAAGCGUGACGCAGCAACGCCGCGUGGGGGAAGACGGCCUUCGGGUUGUAAACCCCUUUCAGGAGGGACGAAGGUUCACCGGUGAAUAGCCGAGUGGAUUGACGGUACCUCCACAAGAAGCUCCGGCUAACUACGUGCCAGCAGCCGCGGUAAUACGUAGGGAGCAAGCGUUGUCCGGAAUCAUUGGGCGUAAAGCGCGCGUAGGUGGCCUCAUAAGUCCGCUGUGAAAGUCAAAGGCUCAACCUUUGAAAGCCGGUGGAUACUGUGAGGCUAGAGUACGGAAGAGGCGAGUGGAAUUCCUGGUGUAGCGGUGGAAUGCGCAGAUAUCAGGAGGAACACCAAUAGCGAAGGCAGCUCGCUGGGACGUUACUGACACUGAGGCGCGAAAGCGUGGGGAGCGAA
rnacentral:rRNA from 1 species